AGAGUUUGCUCCUGGCUCAGGAUGAACGCCGGCGGUGUGCCUAAUACAUGCAAGUCGUACGCACUGGCCCAACUGAUUGAUGGCGCUUGCACCUGAUUGACGAUGGAUCACCAGUGAGUGGCGGACGGGUGAGUAACACGUAGGUAACCUGCCUCGGAGCGGGGGAUAACAUUUGGAAACAGACGCUAAUACCGCAUAACAACAAAAGCCACAUGGCUUUUGUUUGAAAGAUGGUUCUGCUAUCACUCUUGGAUGGACCUGCGGUGCAUUAGCUAGUUGGUAAGGUAACGGCUUACCAAGGCAAUGAUGCAUAGCCGAGUUGAGAGACUGAUCGGCCACAUUGGGACUGAGACACGGCCCAAACUCCUACGGGAGGCAGCAGUAGGGAAUCUUCCACAAUGGACGAAAGUCUGAUGGAGCAACGCCGCGUGAGUGAAGAAGGGUUUCGGCUCGUAAAGCUCUGUUGGUAGUGAAGAAAGAUAGAGGUAGUAACUGGCCUUUAUUUGACGGUAAUUACUUAGAAAGUCACGGCUAACUACGUGCCAGCAGCCGCGGUAAUACGUAGGUGGCAAGCGUUGUCCGGAUUUAUUGGGCGUAAAGCGAGUGCAGGCGGUUCAAUAAGUCUGAUGUGAAAGCCUUCGGCUCAACCGGAGAAUUGCAUCAGAAACUGUUGAACUUGAGUGCAGAAGAGGAGAGUGGAACUCCAUGUGUAGCGGUGGAAUGCGUAGAUAUAUGGAAGAACACCAGUGGCGAAGGCGGCUCUCUGGUCUGCAACUGACGCUGAGGCUCGAAAGCAUGGGUAGCGAACAGGAUUAGAUACCCUGGUAGUCCAUGCCGUAAACGAUGAGUGCUAAGUGUUGGGAGGUUUCCGCCUCUCAGUGCUGCAGCUAACGCAUUAAGCACUCCGCCUGGGGAGUACGACCGCAAGGUUGAAACUCAAAGGAAUUGACGGGGGCCCGCACAAGCGGUGGAGCAUGCGGUUUAAUUCGAAGCAACGCGAAGAACCUUACCAGGUCUUGACAUCCAGUGCAAACCUAAGAGAUUAGGUGUUCCCUUCGGGGACGCUGAGACAGGUGGUGCAUGGCUGUCGUCAGCUAGUGUCGUGAGAUGUUGGGUUAAGUCCCGCAACGAGCGCAACCCUUGUCAUUAGUUGCCAUCAUUAAGUUGGGCACUCUAAUGAGACUGCCGGUGACAAACCGGAGGAGGGUGGGGAUGACGUCAAGUCAUCAUGCCCCUUAUGACCUGGGCUACACACGUGCUACAAUGGACGGUACAACGAGAAGCGAACCUGCGAAGGCAAGCGGAUCUCUUAAAGCUGUUCUCAGUUCGGACUGUAGGCUGCAACUCGCCUACACGAAGCUGGAAUCGCUAGUAAUCGCGGAUCAGCACGCCGCGGUGAAUACGUUCCCGGGCCUUGUACUCACCGCCCGUCA
rnacentral:rRNA from 1 species